rnacentral:lncRNA from 1 species
UGGAGGAGAAGCUGGAGGAGAAGCUGGAGGGUGUCGGGGAAGCAGUGGGAGGUGGGACGUCUGCUAAAACCCUGGAGAUGCUCCAGCAGAGAGUGAAACGUCAGGAGAAUCUGCUUCAGCGCUGUAAGGAGACAAUCGGGUCCCAUAAGGAGCAGUGCGCACUGCUGCUGAGCGAGAAGGAGGCACUGCAGGAGCAGUUGGAGGAAAGGCUGCAGGAGCUGGAGAAGAUGAAGGAGCUUCAUAUGGCUGAGAAGACUAAACUUAUCACUCAGUUGCGUGAUGCAAAGAACUUAAUUGAACAGCUUGAACAAGAUAAGGGAAUGGUAAUAACAGAGGCGAAGCGGCAAAUGCUUGAG